rnacentral:rRNA from 1 species
AUUGAACGCUGGCGGAAUGCUUUACACAUGCAAGUCGAACGGCAGCACGGGGCAACCUGGUGGCGAGUGGCGAACGGUGAGUAAUAUAUCGGAACGUGCCCAAUCGUGGGGGAUAACGUAGCGAAAAUUACGCUAAUACCGCAUACGAUCUACGGAUGAAAGCGGGGGAUCGCAAGACCUCGCGCGAAUGGAGCGGCCGAUAUCAGAUUAGGUAGUUGGUGGGGUAAAGGCUCACCAAGCCAACGAUCUGUAGCUGGUCUGAGAGGACGACCAGCCACACUGGAACUGAGACACGGUCCAGACUCCUACGGGAGGCAGCAGUGGGGAAUUUUGGAAAAUGGGCGCAAGCCUGAUCCAGCCAUUCCGCGUGCAGGAUGAAGGCCUCGGUUGUAACUAGCUUUGUACGGUAACGAAACGGUACUGCCCUAAUACGGCAGGCGUAAUGACGGUACCGUAACGAAUAAGCACCGGCUAACUACGUAGCCAGCAG